AGUGAACGCUGGCGGUAGGCCUAACACAUGCAAGUCGAACGGCAGCACAGUAAGAGCUUGCUCUUACGGGUGGCGAGUGGCGGACGGGUGAGGAAUACAUCGGAAUCUACUUUUUCGUGGGGGAUAACGUGGAAACUUACGCUAAUACCGCAUACGACCUACGGGUGAAAGCAGGGGAUCUUCGGACCUUGCGCGAUUGAAUGAGCCGAUGUCGGAUUAGCUAGUUGGCGGGGUAAAGGCCCACCAAGGCGACGAUCCGUAGCUGGUCUGAGAGGAUGAUCAGCCACACUGGAACUGAGACACGGUCCAGACUCCUACGGGAGGCAGCAGUGGGGAAUAUUGGACAAUGGGCGCAAGCCUGAUCCAGCCAUACCGCGUGGGUGAAGAAGGCCUUCGGGUUGUAAAGCCCUUUUGUUGGGAAAGAAAAGCAGCAGGUUAAUACCCCGCUGUUCUGACGGUACCCAAAGAAUAAGCACCGGCUAACUUCGUG
rnacentral:rRNA from 1 species